AUCAAUUUUUGUGCUCUUCCAUCCAUCAACUCUGUAUAUUCUUUAAGAAGCUGAGCUGAUGAUUCUCUACUUGUUGGGGCUAUCUUUUCGGCAACAUCUUCAUUCUGAUCAGAUGAAUGCAUACUUCAGCAAAUUAUACGGAUAAAAAAAAUAACCAUAUCAUUGUUAAUUUGAUGAGUACUUACGUUUUUAAUUCUAGAGUACUUAUGUUGCAAGCUUUUGAUAUCUUUCUUGAGAUUUGUAAUUUUAUCUGUACUCUCACGUAUUUUUGCAUCGCACUCUUCAAAGUUAGCCUUCCUUUGUCCCUCUAGAAACAAAAACAACUUGAGUGUGCAUAAAAUUAAAUCAUUUGUCCGGUAGAGUUAAAGAUGAGCCACAAGUUGGUGAUGGAGAAUGAGAAUGCGCGUGCAUGAGGCUUCGUGGAAUCGUAAAACUUGACCCCAGAGCAUCCAGUUAGCAGCUGAAUUAGCGACGCGGUUCAUUCACUGAGCACUCGUGACUAUGGCGUGCAAACCAAGCAAUGCAAAAGUAUAACGAAGAUAGAAAAGGCAGAAAAGAAGAAGAUAGUAGCACAUCACUUUGAUGAAAGACAGAAAGAUUACUUUCCUGAUGAAUUGACAAGAGAGGAUCAGCCAUGUUUUGGAUUUAUAGCUAGAGAAUAAAUAUCGACACAACUUAAGUCGUCCAGACAACGGUGUUUGAUCAAACCCUGACAUUUCUUCA